rnacentral:rRNA from 1 species
AUUGAACGCUGGCGGUAUGCCUUACACAUGCAAGUCGAACGGUAGAGGGGCAACCCUUGAGAGUGGCGAACGGGUGAGUAAUACAUCGGAACGUGCCCAGUCGUGGGGGAUAACGUAGCGAAAGCUACGCUAAUACCGCAUACGACCUGAGGGUGAAAGCGGGGGAUCGCAAGACCUCGCGCGAUUGGAGCGGCCGAUGGCAGAUUAGGUAGUUGGUGGGGUAAAGGCCUACCAAGCCUGCGAUCUGUAGCUGGUCUGAGAGGACGACCAGCCGCACUGGGACUGAGACACGGCCCAGACUCCUACGGGAGGCAGCAGUGGGGAAUUUUGGACAAUGGGCGAAAGCCUGAUCCAGCCAUACCGCGUGCGGGAAGAAGGCCUUCGGGUUGUAAACCGCUUUUGUCAGGGAAGAAAUCUUCUGGGUUAAUACCUCGGGAGGAUGACGGUACCUGAAGAAUAAGCACCGGCUAACUACGUGCCAGCCGCCGCCGUAACAC